GACGAACGCUGGCGGCGUGCUUAACACAUGCAAGUCGAACGGAAAGGCCCUGCUUUUGUGGUGUGCUCGAGUGGCGAACGGGUGAGUAACACGUGAGUAACCUGCCCUUGACUUUGGGAUAAGUUCAGGAAACUGGGGCUAAGACCGGAUAGGAGAUCAUGCUGCAUGGUGGGGGUGGGAAAGUUUCGGCGGGUGGGGAUGGAUGCGCGGCUUAUCAGCUUGUUGGUGGGGGAGGGGCUUACCAAGGCUUUGACGGGUAGCCGGCCUGAGAGGGUGACCGGCCACAUUGGGACUGAGAUACGGCCCAGACUCCUACGGGAGGCAGCAGUGGGGAAUAUUGCCCAAUGGGCGGAAGCCUGAUGCAGCAACGCCGCGUGCGGGAUGACGGCCUUCGGGUUGUAAACCGCUUUCGCCCGUGACGACGCGUGAGUGACGGUAAUGGGUAAAGAAGCACCGGCUAACUACGUG
rnacentral:rRNA from 1 species